rnacentral:rRNA from 1 species
CGACCGGCGCACGGGUGAGUAACGCGUAUGCAACCUGCCCGUUUCAGCGGGAUAACCCGGAGAAAUCCGGCCUAAUACCGCAUGUGGCCGAGGGGAGGCAUCUUCUUUCGGCCAAAGGAGGCGACUCCGGAGACGGAUGGGCAUGCGUGACAUUAGCUAGUUGGCGGGGUAACGGCCCACCAAGGCGACGAUGCGUAGGGGUUCUGAGAGGAAGGUCCCCCACACUGGUACUGAGACACGGACCAGACUCCUACGGGAGGCAGCAG